rnacentral:rRNA from 1 species
GUGGGGAAUCUUCCGCAAUGGACGAAAGUCUGACGGAGCAACGCCGCGUGAGUGAAGAAGGUUUUCGGAUCGUAAAGCUCUUUCGUUAGGGACGAACGUGCUCUUUGUGAAUAAUGAGGAGUAAUGACGGUACCUAAAUAAGAAGCCACGGCUAACUACGUGCCAGCAGCCGCGGUAAUACGUAGGUGGCAAGCGUUGUCCGGAAUUAUUGGGCGUAAAGCGCGCGCAGGCGGGAUAUCAAGUCUGUCUUAAAAGUGCGUGGCUCAACCUCGUGAGGGGACAGAAACUGGUAUUCUUGAGUGUCGGAGAGGAAAGUGGAAUUCCAAGUGUAGCGGUGAAAUGCGUAGAGAUUUGGAAGAACACCAGUGGCGAAGGCGACUUUCUGGACGAUGUCUGACGCUGAGGCGCGAAAGCUAGGGGAGCGAACGGGAUUAGAAACCCGAGUAGUCC